AAGCGCACGUAGGCGGCUGGGUAAGUCUGUCUGUGAAAGCCCGGGGCUCAACCCCGGAACUGCCCUCGAAACUAGAUAGCUAGAAUCUUGGAGAGGCGAGUGGAAUUCCGAGUGUAGAGGUGAAAUUCGUAGAUAUUCGGAAGAACACCAGUGGCGAAGGCGACUCGCUGGACAAGUAUUGACGCUGAGGUGCGAAAGCGUGGGGAGCAAACAGG
rnacentral:rRNA from 1 species